GACGAACGCUGGCGGCGUGCCUAAUACAUGCAAGUUGAGCGCUGAAGGUUGGUACUUGUACCAACUGGAUGAGCAGCGAACGGGUGAGUAACGCGUGGGGAAUCUGCCUUUGAGCGGGGGACAACAUUUGGAAACGAAUGCUAAUACCGCAUAAAAACUUUAAACACAAGUUUUAAGUUUGAAAGAUGCAAUUGCAUCACUCAAAGAUGAUCCCGCGUUGUAUUAGCUAGUUGGUGAGGUAAAGGCUCACCAAGGCGAUGAUACAUAGCCGACCUGAGAGGGUGAUCGGCCACAUUGGGACUGAGACACGGCCCAAACUCCUACGGGAGGCAGCAGUAGGGAAUCUUCGGCAAUGGACGAAAGUCUGACCGAGCAACGCCGCGUGAGUGAAGAAGGUUUUUGGAUCGUAAAACUCUGUUGGUAGAGAAGAACGUUGGUGAGAGUGGAAAGCUCAUCAAGUGACGGUAACUACCCAGAAAGGCACGGCUAACUACGUG
rnacentral:rRNA from 1 species